AUUUAUAAAGUUUAUAAAACAUUUCAUUUUCAUUGAAAAAAGAGACUUAGUCUUAUAAAUA
rnacentral:tRNA from 1 species